GAUGAACGCUGGCGGCGUGCUUAACACAUGCAAGUCGAACGUGAUCCAUUAGCAAUAGUGGUGAAAGUGGCGAACGGGUGAGUAACACGUAGGUAACCUGCCCUGAAGCGGGGGAUAACGACUGGAAACGGUCGCUAAUACCGCAUGAGUCCAUUGAAACGGGAGUGAGAUGGAGAAAAUUCUGGUGCUUCAGGAGGGGCCUGCGUCCGAUUAGCUAGUUGGUGAGGUAACGGCUCACCAAGGCGACGAUCGGUAGCUGGUCUGAGAGGACGAUCAGCCACACGGGAACUGGGACGCGGUCCCUACUCCUACGGGGGGCAGCAGUGAGGUAUAUUGGGCAAUGGGCGGAAGCCUGACCCAGCAACGCCGCGUGAAGGAUGAAGGCCUUCGGGUUGUAAACUUCUUUUAUGGGGGAAGAGUAAGGACGGUACCCCAGGAAUAAGUCACGGCUAACUACGUGCCAGCAGCCGCCGUAA
rnacentral:rRNA from 1 species